GGCAACUUGGCCGAGCGGUCUAAGGCGCCAGACUCAAGAUACCGGUUCGUACUAAAAGAACCUGCGUCUUCCCUGUUUACCAGGGAGCAUUCUGGUCUCGAAAGAGGCGUGAGUUCGAAUCCCACAGUUGUCA
rfam:Colletotrichum sublineola strain TX430BB Scaffolds1443.1, whole genome shotgun sequence.